rnacentral:pre_miRNA from 1 species
CUCAGGGGUUGGGGUCCCUCAGCCCAGAUUGUGAGAGGGCACAGGCCAGGCCAAGGGACCCCACCAGUGCACG